rnacentral:lncRNA from 1 species
CUGGAAUUCUUCAAAAUGGCAGACAUCCAGGGUCAUGUAAAUAAGGAAGGCAGAUUUCAUCUACAAACAGGAAAACACAACAACAGUAACAGACAUAUCAGGAAGCGUCAAGUUAGAAUCUUCAGCUAAAUAUAGUUGAAAUAAAGAACAGUUUACUUUUUCAUAUAAAGCAAGAAGUCCAGAGGGAGGAAGUCCAGGACUAAUUGAGCAGCUCGAAUAUGCCAUCAGGAACCCAGGUUUUUCCUGUGUUUCUUCUCCACCAUCAUUCAGCAUUGGCCUUCAACUUAUUGCUUCAAAACUGCAAGACGUUUGUUCCACCACCAGACAUCACACAAUAUCCAAGUAGGAAGAAGGGAGUAGGGCAAGGGGGCAAAAGGUGGUGGCAAUUGUGUCUCUUCCUUCAAAAAAGCCAAAGUCUUUUCAGAAGACCCCUCAGCAAAUAUAUUUUUACAUUCAAUUUGCCAAAAAUGUGUCAACAGACACUACUAGCUGCAGGGAAUAUUGGGGAAUCAAAUAUUGAACUUUCUAGUCUCUAAAUUAGAGUAAGAUAAGAAGGGAGGAGGUUGAGAAUUCAUGUUGAGCGCACCCAAUUACAAUGUCUUUCUCAAUAGGGCUUACAUUUUAGUAGGCAGCACGUUCUCACACUUUGUAUCAUUAAAUCAUCACAACCGUAGGAGUUGGUCCUUCUUUUACUUUUACUAAAGAGGGAAGCAUGGUCUAGAGUGGUUAAGAAAAUUGUCCAAGUCAUUCAGCUUGCAAGCAUUGGAAUCAAUUUCUAUAUGACUCCAGAAACCCUGCUGUUUAACGUGGGCAAAGAAAUCAUAACAGCUCGAAAACAAUGCUUUCCCAAAGACUAGGUAUUGAACUUACACUUAAAAGACAGUGUGCAGGAGAAUCUUUAGAAUCUUUAUAGGAUUCUUACACAAUGAUCUUGUUCUUACCUGAAACAAAAUUUCUUGACAAGUUCCUAAAAGUAAAGAACCAAGAUCACUUGGGAUUAACCAUUAUAUUCCAUUAGUCAUUGAAGCCUGAGCAUGACUGUCAACAAUUACCCACUGGUGGGGGACUUACAGAUGGU